CCGGCAGCUUGUGAGAAGUGCCGGCGUGCACGACAAAGUCCUGGGACGCCAAAGAGUUAGGUACCUGGUACUGCCAGAAAAAGCCUCAUCAGACAGCGUCGCUCUCUGACCUUCAGAGUCAUUAGCAGCUGUUCAUGUAUGAAGACAUAAACUCCCAUCCUGAUUGCUCUGACUGUAGCUUUCAUUUGAGAUCAGCGCUGUGCUUUACGGACAGAAAGAAAGCCUUUAAAUGCUCUGCUCCCCUCAUGUGGAACCAACCGAGACGACGGCAUCGGUCGUUUAUUCAUCCCUCCCAAAACGACAUGAGCGACGUUAUAUCAUGGAUCAAUUUUUAUGGAAUCAAAUAUCAGCAACAGGAUCCCAAAAGCAUCCGGGAAGGAAGUGAAACUAAGCAGGUAGACUUAGGAGGGGUCGGGGGGAGCGUUGUUCCAAACUUUACCUGACGGGCGGACCACAGUCUCAGACUUUAAAAACUCUGCUCUGGGCCUUUGAGGUCAGUGAAAGGAGGUGAAGCUGCGCCGCAAAGUCUGGAAAUCAUCUGGGCGUGGGAGCUGAGUCAGCUGCAGGUCCUCAGAGAUUCGGUCCCCCUUCCAGUUUAGGGACCCUGACUCUGCAUCUGUUUAGUCGUUUGAGGACGUGUUGGGAGCUUCAACUUGUUCACACUGUUAGACAGAAAUCAGGUCACUUCGGCCUGCAGUCCUUGCAGAACUGGUCUCUGUGUCAUAUUUAAAGCUCUUGUAAGUGUAGGGAUGAUUGACUGGUCACUGUGCGAAGGUAUUAUAAACUUAAAUGUUUGCUAUGUUUCUUGUUGUUGUUGCUGCUGUGACCUUUUUUUGACGCUGCU